GAUGAACGCUGGCGGCGUGCUUAACACAUGCAAGUCGAACGAUGAAGCCCAGCUUGCUGGGUGGAUUAGUGGCGAACGGGUGAGUAACACGUGAGUAACCUGCCCUUAACUCUGGGAUAAGCCUGGGAAACUGGGUCUAAUACCGGAUAGGAGCGUCCACCGCAUGGUGGGUGUUGGAAAGAUUUAUCGGUUUUGGAUGGACUCGCGGCCUAUCAGCUUGUUGGUGAGGUAAUGGCUCACCAAGGCGACGACGGGUAGCCGGCCUGAGAGGGUGACCGGCCACACUGGGACUGAGACACGGCCCAGACUCCUACGGGAGGCAGCAGUGGGGAAUAUUGCACAAUGGGCGCAAGCCUGAUGCAGCUACGCCGCGUGAGGGAUGACGGCCUUCGGGUUGUAAACCUCUUUCAGUAGGGAAGAAGCGAAAGUGACGGUACCUGCAGAAGAAGCACCGGCUAACUACGUG
rnacentral:rRNA from 1 species